rnacentral:rRNA from 1 species
GACGAACGCUGGCGGCGUGCUUAACACAUGCAAGUCGAGCGGUAAGGCCCUUUCGGGGGUACGACGAGCGGCGAACGGGUGAGUAACACGUGGGUGACCUGCCCUCAGCUCUGGGAGUAAGCCUGGGAAACCGGGUCUAAUACUGGAUAUGACUCCAUGACGCAUGUUGUGGGGUGGAAAGCCUUGUGCGGCUGAGGAUGGGCCCGCGGCCUAUCAGCUUGUUGGUGGGGUGAGGCCUACCAAGGCGACGACGGGUAGCCGGCCUGAGAGGGCGACCGGCCACACUGGGACUGAGACACGGCCCAGACUCCUACGGGAGGCAGCAGUGGGGGAAUCUUGCGCAAUGGGCGAAAGCCUGACGCAGCGACGCCGCGUGAGGGAUGACGGCCUCGG